GGAAAUUCCAGAAAAAUCUCCGGGGAAAGAGGAAGAAAAUCCCGGAAAAUCUCCGGGGAAGGAGGAAGAGAAAAGCUUGGAAGAGCCCUGAGAAUUCCCGGGGAAGGGUGAAGAAACCGCGGAGCCGAAAAUUCCCGGGUUUUUCCCAGGAAAAUUCGGGAAUUCCAGGAGGGGGAAAAUAAAAAAAAAUCUCCCGGAAAAAACCAAAUAAAGUUGGAAUUUUGGAAAUUCCCAAUAAAGGCGGCGCUCGCAUCCCAGGGAA